GAAAUGCGAUAAGUAAUGUGAAUUGCAGAAUUCAGUGAAUCAUCGAAUCUUUGAACGCACCUUGCGCUCCUUGGUAUUCCUUGGAGCAUGCCUGUUUGAGUAUCAUGAAAUCUUCAAAGUAAAUCUUUUGUUAACUCAAUUGGUUUCUACUUUGGUAUUGGAGGUCUUUGCAGCUUCACACCUGCUCCUCUUUGUUCAUUAGCUGGAUCUCAGUGUUAUGCUUGGUUCCACUCGGCGUGAUAAGUUAUCUAUCGCUGAGGACACUGUAAAAGGUGGCCAAGGUAAAUGCAGAUGAACCGCUUCUAAUAGUCCAUUGACUUGGACAAUACUUUUAUGAUCUGAUCUCAAGUCAGGUAGGACUACCCACUGAACUUAAGC
rnacentral:misc_RNA from 1 species